rnacentral:rRNA from 1 species
CAGUCGCCGCGGUAAUACGGAGGGUGCAAGCGUUAAUCGGAAUUACUGGGCGUAAAGCGCACGCAGGCGGUCUGACAAGUCAGAUGUGAAAUCCCCGGGCUUAACCUGGGAACUGCAUUUGAAACUGUCAGGCUGGAGUCUUGUAGAGGGGGGUGGAAUUCCAGGUGUAGCGGUGAAAUGCGUAGAGAUCUGGAGGAAUACCGGUGGCGAAGGCGGCCCCCUGGACAAAGACUGACGCUCAGGUGCGAAAGCGUGGGGAGCAAACAGGAUUAGAUACCCGUGUAGUCCCUGUCUCUUAUAC